CCUACGGGAGGCAGCAGUGGGGAAUAUUGGACAAUGGGGGGAACCCUGAUCCAGCCAUGCCGCGUGUGUGAAGAAGGCCCUCGGGUUGUAAAGCACUUUCAGUGAGGAAGAACGCCUGGUGGUUAAUACCCAUCAGGAAAGACAUCACUCACAGAAGAAGCACCGGCUAACUCCGUGCCAGCAGCCGCGGUAAUACGGAGGGUGCGAGCGUUAAUCGGAAUUACUGGGCGUAAAGCGCGCGUAGGUGGCUUGAUAAGCCGGUUGUGAAAGCCCCGGGCUCAACCUGGGAACGGCAUCCGGAACUGGCAAGCUAGAGUGCAGGAGAGGAAGGUAGAAUUCCCGGUGUAGAGGUGAAAUGCGUAGAGAUCGGGAGGAAUACCAGUGGCGAAGGCGGCCUUCUGGACUGACACUGACACUGAGGUGCGAAAGCGUGGGGAGCAAACAGGAUUAGAUACCCGGGUAGUC
rnacentral:rRNA from 1 species